CCUACGGGAGGCCGCAGUGGGGAAUAUUUCACAAUGGGGGAAACCCUGAUGCAGCGACGCCGCGUGAGUGAAGAAGUAUCUCGGUACGUAAAGCUCUAUCAGCAGGGAAGAAAAUGACGGUACCUGACUAAGAAGCCCCGGCUAACUACGUGCCAGCAGCCGCGGUAAUACUUCGGGGGCAAGCGUUAUCCGGAUUUACUGGGAGGAAAGGGAGCGUAGAAGGCAGCACAAGUCUGGAGUGAAAUCCCGGGGCUUAACCCCGGAACUGCUUUGGAUACUGUGCGGCUGGAGUGCAGGAGGGGUAAGCGGAAGUCCGAGUGUAGCGGUGAAAUGCGUAGAUAUUAGGAGGAACACCGGUGGCGAAGGCGGCUUACUGGACUGUAACUGACGUUGAGGCUCGAAAGCGUGGGGAGCAAACAGGAUUAGAUACCCCAGUAGUC
rnacentral:rRNA from 1 species